GUUAUGACUGCGUGUUACUUGAUUAACUUGACACCUUCUACUGCAUUAAAUGGUGACACUCCACAUGAAAAAUGGUAUGGUAAAUGUGCUGACUAUACUGUGUUAAAAACAUUUGGCUGUGCUGUUUUCUCUCAUCAAAACGAGGGAAAACUAGAACCUAGAGCUAGGAAAUGUGUUUUCUUAGGAUACCCUGAAGGAGUUAAAGGGUAUAGGCUUUGGGAUAGAAGUCAAACUGGAGUUAAGAUCAUCGUAAGUCGUGAUGUUACAUUUAAUGAGUCUGAAAUGCCAUGUUUAAAACUAGAUAGUGACACCUUGAGAGAAAAACAGCAAGAAAACACUAGUGAUGAAUCUCAUGAAGAUUUAAGGUCUUUAAGUGUUAAAACCCCCAACACCUCAAUUGAGGUGGAGCAUCAAAAUCUUGAACUAGAAGAUAAUCAGGAUGAACAUAUUGAGAGAAAUGAGGUUAUAGAGGAAUAUCAAGAGGAGCAAAACCCUUUGUCUGAUUACCAGUUAGCUAGAGACAGAGUUAGAAGAACAUAUAGGGUGCCUCAAAGGUUAGAGUCUGAUUUUGAACUUGCUUAUGCUAGUUAUGAAGAACUAGUUGAUAGGGAACCAAACACGUAUGAAGAAGCCUUGAGGAGUGAACAAUCUGAGGAUUGGGUGAAAGCGAUGAAAGAAGAGAUAAGUUCCCUCGAUAAGAAUCAAACAUGGGAAUUAGUCCCAAGACCUAAAAACAAGUCUAUUAUUGGGUGUAAAUGGGUCUUUAGAAUUAAGGAGGGAAUUACCAAAGGAGAGAGUUUAAGGUUUAAGGCUAGACUUGUAGCCAAAGGAUACACACAAAAGGAAGGGAUAGAUUAUAACGAGAUCUUUUCUCCAGUUGUUAAGUAUACCACAAUUAGGACUAUGCUUGCAUUAGUUGCACAUUUUAAUUGGGAACUUGAACAACUUGACGUUAAAACUGCUUUUUUGCAUGGUGAACUUGAUGAAAAGAUUUUUAUGGAUCAACCUAAAGGUUUUGAAAAUAAACAAAAAUCUGAUCAUGUGUGCUUUCUUAAACGCUCUCUGUAUGGUUUAAAACAAUCUCCCAGACAAUGGUACAAACGUUUUGAUUCUUUUGUUAAAACUGUUGGUUUUAAAAGGAGUGAAUUUGAUCAUUGCUUAUACUAUCAAGGAAAUGCUAAAAAUGAUAACUGUGUGUUUUUAUUGCUAUACGUGGAC
rnacentral:lncRNA from 1 species